UGCUUACACAUGCAAGUCGGACGAAGGCUUCGGCCUUAGUGGCGGACGGGUGAGUAAUGCAUAGGAAUCUGCCUGGUAGUGGGGGAUAACGUAGGGAAACUUACGCUAAUACCGCAUACGCCCCACGGGGGAAAGCGGGGGACCUUCGGGCCUCGCGCUAUCGGAUGAGCCUAUGUCGGAUUAGCUGGUUGGUGGGGUAAAGGCCCACCAAGGCGACGAUCCGUAGCUGGUCUGAGAGGAUGAUCAGCCACACUGGGACUGAGACACGGCCCAGACUCCUACGGGAGGCAGCAGUGGGGAAUAUUGGACAAUGGGCGCAAGCCUGAUCCAGCAAUACCGCGUGUGUGAAGAAGGCCUGAGGGUUGUAAAGCACUUUCAGUGGGGAGGAACAGCCCGGGGCCAAUACCCCUGGGAAUGACAUUACCCACAGAAGAAGCACCGGCUAACUCCGUGCCAGCAGCCGCGGUAAUACGGAGGGUGCGAGCGUUAAUCGGAAUAACUGGGCGUAAAGCGCACGCAGGCGGUUUGCUAAGCUAGAUGUGAAAGCCCCGGGCUCAACCUGGGAACUGCAUUUAGAACUGGCGAACUAGAGUCUUGUAGAGGGGGGUAGAAUUCCAGGUGUAGCGGUGAAAUGCGUAGAGAUCUGGAGGAAUACCGGUGGCGAAGGCGGNCCCCUGGACAGAGACUGACGCUCAGGUGCGAAAGCGUGGGGAGCAAA
rnacentral:rRNA from 1 species